rnacentral:rRNA from 1 species
AUUGAACGCUGGCGGCAUGCCUUACACAUGCAAGUCGAACGGCAGCACGGACUUCGGUCUGGUGGCGAGUGGCGAACGGGUGAGUAAUGUAUCGGAACGUACCCUUCAGUGGGGGAUAACUAUCCGAAAGGAUAGCUAAUACCGCAUAUUCUCUGAGGAGGAAAGCGGGGGAUCGCAAGACCUCGCGCUGAUGGAGCGGCCGAUAUCAGAUUAGCUAGUUGGUGGGGUAAAGGCCUACCAAGGCGACGAUCUGUAGCGGGUCUGAGAGGAUGAUCCGCCACACUGGGACUGAGACACGGCCCAGACUCCUACGGGAGGCAGCAGUGGGGAAUUUUGGACAAUGGGGGCAACCCUGAUCCAGCCAUGCCGCGUGAGUGAAGAAGGCCUUCGGGUUGUAAAGCUCUUUCGGCCGGGAAGAAAUCGCGUGAGUUAAUACCUUGCGUGGAUGACGGUACCGGAAUAAGAAGCACCGGCUAACUACGUGCCAGCCGCCGCGGUAA